rnacentral:piRNA from 1 species
CCUGUUCGUGACGACAUUCUCUGUUCCUUU